rnacentral:tRNA from 1 species
GGAUGUGUUAUGCAUGUUUGGUGUUUUAUCAUGCCAAGCUCAAUGCGUUUGUGUGGGUGAAUCAUAGUAAACUUGGUGGAGUGAGACGUAGAUGCUGUUGUGUUACAUCCAGCCGUGGAUUACACCUAUGUACAUCCC